CUGUCCAUGCUCCUUGGUUAGCAGAGCGAGGACCAUAACCCACCCUCCAUCCUCCAGAGCACACUCACAGAUGCCCCUUUGCAGACCAUCUACAAAAUGGUGUCCUCCGUGAUGAAGAUGCCUGAGGACAAGUCCAUGCCCGAGAAGCGAACAGACAAGAUCUUCAGACAGAUGGACACAAAGAUGGCAAAAUGUCCCUGGAAGAAUUCAACAAAGGUGCCAAGAGCGACCAUCCAUUGUCCGGUUUCUGCAGUGUGAUCCCAGCAGUGCUAGCCAGUUCUGAGGGGAAUGGGCUUUUACACAGUUGUGAGAAACACAGGCUUGACCUGCCAUCUUCAGCUUUGCUUGCAAAAGUGGAUUUCUCCUGCUCUCUCAGGACCUGGGUCCAGACAGCAUAUCACAUUCACCUGGUCUGGCUGGAUGCAGGUCCCUUCUCUGUCUGAUCCAAUAGAUGUCCCUCCCCAUCCAGUCCAGGCUGGUUCCUUCCAAGGUUUCAAGUGUUCUGGGCUGUAGGGCUACUUUCCUGCCCACAGAGGGCCUGGAGACCCUUAAGGACACCACACAGGACAUUUCAGUAUCUUACCGAGACCAGCUGAUUUAUUCUAUGAUCCCAGGUGACUUUGUGAGGAUGAAGAAGAUGGACAGUAGAUAGGCAAGCACUUCCUGUGCAUGGCUUCACCUCCCUUCUUCAUUUUCUCCGACCAAAGCUGCUUGCAUGUAUAUACUGUGGUAUCCUUACUUUCAAUAUAUAAGUUUUGUAUAAAGUGAGAAGGUUCAGCCCCUGUAUUUAAAGCCUCUGACUGCCCUUAAAGCAUGGUCCCUGUGGCCUGUGAUUCCCCCUACCCCCAAAUCUGGCUGUGCUUUGGUAUUUAAGUAUUCAUUUGCCUAAUUACACAGGAGAUACAUGCAUGCCCAAGGCUGUGGACAUCUGCCCUCCGUCCUGCAAACACAGGUGUUCCUGUGUGCUC